GUUUGCAAUCAUAUCGCCCUGCAGCCCAAGACUGGUUGCCCACUGAAGCUAAGCAGGGUUGAGCUUGGUCAGUACCUGGAUGGGAGACCUCCUGGGAAAACUAGGUUGCUGUUGGAA
rnacentral:rRNA from 1 species